CCUUUUAGCGGGAAUUUUAAAAUUUUAUAGCAGUUUGGUUUUAAAUUUGACAGUUCUGUUUUCUCAAGUCAAAAAUCUUAACCUUACUUUUACAAGUGAUUAGGAUUAUUAUUAUUUUAUUUACAUGUAAAUUGAAACAAUAAAUAUUGUGCUGUGUCAUAAUUUCAAACUCAUUAUGUUGCAGUCUUUUCCAGUUGAUAAAAUUGCAAUUCAAAAACUUUUAGGUAGAUUUGCACUGUAUGGAUGGCACAGGAAGAGAACAAGAGUACAAGAACAUGAAACAUCUUAUUAUGAAUGUAUAUGUAUGUGAUCCUCAAAAAAUUAUCUUACAAAACAAGAUAGAGAAACAGCUUUAAAAUCCCAAGGAUCCUGCAAAAUGUUUAUUUGGUGUACUAGUCGAAUAAUAGUAUCUAAAAAUAUUGAAACUAUUUUAAAACACAUUACGGGCAUGAGGAUGAUAUAGAGCACUUACAUAAAUACCAAAAUCAGAUAAAUAUCUCUUCAAAGUUUAUUUUGAGACUUUCUUCAAAAAUUAAACUUCAGACUGUUCAGGAUAGCAUAAUAGCAUAGGAGGCGAAUUAAAAAGAAUAUAUUUACUUACAAGAAAAUAUA